rnacentral:rRNA from 1 species
AUUGAACGCUGGCGGCAGGCUUAACACAUGCAAGUCGAGCGAGCGGCGGACGGGUGAGUAAUGUCUGGGAAACUGCCUGAUGGAGGGGGAUAACUCCUGGAAACGGUAGCUAAUACCGCAUACCAUCAGAUGUGCCCAGAUGGGAUUAGCUAGUAGGUGGGGUAAUGGCUCACCUAGGCGAAGAUCCCUAGCUGGUCUGAAAGGAUGACCAUCCACACUGUAACGGAGACACGGUCCAGACUCCUACGGGAGGCAGCAGUGGUGAAUAUUGCAGAAUGGGCGCAAGCCUGAUGCAGCCAUGCAGCGUGUGUGAAGAAGGCCUUCGGGUUGUAAAGCACUGUCAGCGAGGAGGCGUUAAUCGCAGAAGAAGCACCGGCGAACUCCGUGCCAGCAGCCGCGGUAAUAC